rnacentral:lncRNA from 1 species
GAUUGUAUAAAUUACAUAGCUUGUGGAUUUAUAAAUGUUGUUCAUAUUUGUUAAGUUGGCUUGGAUUGCCAUAAAUAUGAAUUAUCGAGUGAUGUGAUAUAUGAUUAUAAACUGCACAGGUUUUAUAGAUGUGAAUUUGAUAUAAUAUUUUUUUCAGUGUCCUAAAAUGUUAGUUUGGAUCCUGGAUUGGUUUGUGAUAAAAAUUUUAAAAUCAUCGAUAUUAUUUGAGGGGC